UUGGGUUUCUCCCUGUUUCUUUUUUCUGUCUAUUUUUCUUGUUUUAAAAUGAAAUUGUCAGUGGAAGGUUGUUUUUGAUGAUUCUAUUCCAUGUUAUUGGCUCUAGCGUCUAAAACAGAUCUUUACUCAAUGAGGUUUCUAUUUCCAGUUGGAACUUUUCUGUCUUCAUUUGCUGUUGGGGGGUAGGAUCAUAAAAGAAAGGAGUACAUUCAUUCAUUAAUG
rnacentral:misc_RNA from 1 species